rnacentral:lncRNA from 1 species
UUGGAGUGUGCUCCUCAACUGCCUCAGGAAAAAGUGGGAGCAGUUGAGUGGCAUCAAGUCUGCAAUUGUUCUCCGAAAGGCCCUGGUAACUUUCUCUCACUGAAUUUUUAUAACCAUUUUCCUUCCCUUCAUUUUCCUCCGAGAGUUUAUGAACAGGACUGUGAUUUAAGACCUGUAAAUGACAUGGUUAAUGGCCAAAAUAGUAUUAAUAUCUUUGCAAAUGCAAUUUUGUAUAGUUCCACAUGGUAAGAAAACUAACCAUGAAGUGCCUCAGGCAACAUCCAGAGAACUACAAGAAAAAAGGAAUGGUUUUACCAAAAUUUUUACAGAUCUGGUUCUGGAAUUGAUAGAUUUGCACUACUGCACCGAUUAUCUUUACAAAAAGAUGAGAUCACCUAAUCUUUUAAUGAGAAUGAUAAACUCUCUUACCCCCCUCCCCCACCUAGAGGUGGCAAUGGAACUGGACCCAACCCAGAUCCGGGUCCAAAUAUUGGAAUGAACACUAUACGGGUCGGGGUCCGGGUCCAUGCAGACCUGGCCCGUUGCCACCCCUAUCAUCACCCCCCUCCCCCCCCCCCCUCUCCUUUCCCCCCUCUUCUCUCUCCUAUCUCUCUCUCUCUAUGAGAUCAGGUAAGGUGGGCCCCACUGCCAGUGCACCACCUCUUAAUUGACCAGGGAGGCUUUUUCUCUUGUAACUCCCACCCCCAAGCCAAGGGACACAGACAUGGAGAGAGAGAGCGAGAGAGAGAGAGAGAGAGAGAAAGUUGUGUGUUAACACUAUACUAUAAUCCAAUGAACGAUGGAAACAAUGUGGUCUGAUCAGUUGUCACCAACCAUUGAGAUACGAAUAGAGUGGGAACCACCACUGAGGUCAUGUCCUAUUAAUGAAAGAGAGUGAGAGAAGCACAGAGUAGUAUGUGCAAAAAAAAAAGAAAAAAAUCCAAUGGACUAUGCAAAAAUCAAACUCUAAUACAUCAUAUCCAUUGAAAUGAACAAAGAUGAUAGAGUCUUGACUUCAACAACAUCCUAUGGUGACCAAUAUCCAUCACCAUCCAUCAAUCCAAUGGAAUGCAGUGACCAGAUGGACAAUCGUGCUUUCAUCGUCCAUAGAGUUACAGCACAUAGAGUUACAGCAUGUAUCUUGUUUGGUAUUUUAUCAGAAACGAGUCCAUUUCAGCAAUUUUUUCGAAACCACUUUUGUUUUGAAUCUCUUCUCAUAACCACCGCUCUAGGCUACUUUCAUCUAAUUUACAUGGCUUUCAAUAAAGAAGAAUAACUUACCUGUGAUAAAUCCUCCAUGGUCUUUUCCUGCAAAACAGAAACUGAAAUGGGUGGAUCCUUUUCUGGAAAAUCAGGAACUGGGAUGGGUAAUUCAGGCCUCUUUUCAAGCAAAUUAGGACAAUCAGAGAACAUUGAAACCCUCGGAGACCUCCAUCUCAGGUUCUUCUCAGCUUCAUUUGCAACACUCUGUUUAUUAGGUUUUGCCAUAAUUGGUUCAGAAAAUCCAGGAGGUAAGUCAGGGUCCUCAUCUGUCAAGGUCUUUUGUAUCUUCUGGGUCAUUACUAGUUCAGCGAACCUGCAAGCUUGUUCAGAGUGAGUGAUAUUCAUGUUUUCCUUCUGUUUCCAGAAAGAUAAUGCAGAGAACUUUGGUGUCCUAUCGAGCUCAAGUGGCAUCUCAGCUUUCAUAUUGUGCCAAUGAGCCCUCCCACUCUCACUGGAUUUG